rnacentral:misc_RNA from 1 species
GAUGAAGAACGCAGCGAAAUGCGAUAAGUAAUGCGAAUUGCAGAAUUCCGUGAGUCAUCGAAUCUUUGAACGCACAUUGCGCCCCUCGGUAUUCCGAGGGGCAUGCCUGUUCGAGCGUCAUUAUAACCCUUCAAGCUCAGCUUGGUGUUGGGGCCUGCUGUAACUGGUAGCCCUUAAAAUCAGUGGCAGUGCUAUUAGGCUCUAAGCGUAGUAAUUCUUCUCGCUAUAGUGUGUAGUGAGCGCUUGCCAGAACCCCAAACUUUUAUAUGAUUGACCUCGGAUCAGGUAGGGAUACCCGCUGAACUUAAGCAUAUCAAUAAGCGGAGGA